AUAUUUAAUGGCAAUACCGCAGUUUUAAUUUCGCCGUUCUUGCUUUAAUAAUUGUGGCAAUACCGUCGCUUAGGUCGUGAUUGUUGUUUGUUAUUGCAGUUUUCUGCUAGUGGUUUUUGUUACUUAUAGAUAGGUAUUAAUAGGAUCUGAUAUGCCGAAACGAAAAACUAGCGCUGUUUGGGACUAUUUUGAAGACAUUAAGGUUGACGAUAGACGUGUAUGGAGAUGUGUUCUGUGUAAGGAAACGCGUGAUUUCAAGGGAAAUACAAGCAAUCUCUGGUCUCAUCUGGCGAACAACAAAGAUGAACAACACAUUGAGGCACACCACUCCAUAAAAGAUAAAUGUCACCCACCCAGAAAAAUAACGAAGAAAACUGACAACCGACCCGCACGGCUUUUGGAUGUCGACACAGAUGUAGAGAAUGAGAAUUCGGAAAUAGCUGAAGAUGGCGUAAUGUUACCAGCAUUUGCUUCGACUUCGGCGGCAUCAAUGUCGGGUACUUCAACUUCAUCAUCAACUGGUGAAACGUACGAGUUGAGGCCAAUGCCAUAUUCUAUUUCAAGUUUGAAGUUCAAAGGAUUUUUUUUGGCCUUGGGUUUGUACAUUUCUCAAGCCAUGCAACCGUUGUCGUUGGUCGAAGAAAAAAUUUUAGAGAGUUUGUUCUUCACAUCGAUCCACGACUAACAAUACCGUAUCGUAAUACGAUGACACAUACCAUUUUGCCGAACUUGUAUAGGGAAGCAAAGGCUAAAUUGGUGAAAGAGUUGGAAGGUAUCAAACAAGUUGCGCUAAUCACUGACUGCUGGACUUCCAUAAAUAAUGAAGGUUACAUGACGGUUACCGUUCAUUAUUUAUCGGAUAAACUUAAAAUGGUCUCUCGUGUUCUAAACACGAUAAUGAUCGAAGAAAGUCACACCGCAGUGAAUUCAGCCAAGGAACUAAGAAAAAUCGUGACUGAAUGGAAUUUGAUGAACAAAAUUUCAGCGGUAGGGGAGACUGGAGUAAGCCGGGACGGUUUUCGUUUUCUCCCAAACUAAUCAUUAAAUUAAUUUAUUAUUUUGUUUUUAUGUAUUCCAUACGGUAAUGUAC